rnacentral:rRNA from 1 species
CUACCAUGCAGUCGAGCGGAGUGAUGGUGCUUGCACUAUCACUUAGCGGCGGACGGGUGAGUAAUGCUUAGGAAUCUGCCUAUUAGUGGGGGACAACAUUUCGAAAGGAAUGCUAAUACCGCAUACGUCCUACGGGAGAAAGCAGGGGAUCUUCGGACCUUGCGCUAAUAGAUGAGCCUAAGUCGGAUUAGCUAGUUGGUGGGGUAAAGGCCUACCAAGGCGACGAUCUGUAGCGGGUCUGAGAGGAUGAUCCGCCACACUGGGACUGAGACACGGCCCAGACUCCUACGGGAGGCAGCAGUGGGGAAUAUUGGACAAUGGGCGCAAGCCUGAUCCAGCCAUGCCGCGUGUGUGAAGAAGGCCUUAUGGUUGUAAAGCACUUUAAGCGAGGAGGAGGCUACUGAAGUUAAUACCUUCAGAUAGUGGACGUUACUCGCAGAAUAAGCACCGGCUAACUCUGUGCCAGCAGCCGCGGUAAUACAGAGGGUGCAAGCGUUAAUCGGAUUUACUGGGCGUAAAGCGCGCGUAGGCGGCUAAUUAAGUCAAAUGUGAAAUCCCCGAGCUUAACUUGGGAAUUGCAUUCGAUACUGGUUAGCUAGAGUGUGGGAGAGGAUGGUAGAAUUCCAGGUGUAGCGGUGAAAUGCGUAGAGAUCUGGAGGAAUACCGAUGGCGAAGGCAGCCAUCUGGCCUAACACUGACGCUGAGGUGCGAAAGCAUGGGGAGCAAACAGGAUUAGAUACCCUGGUAGUCCAUGCCGUAAACGAUGUCUACUAGCCGUUGGGGCCUUUGAGGCUUUAGUGGCGCAGCUAACGCGAUAAGUAGACCGCCUGGGGAGUACGGUCGCAAGACUAAAACUCAAAUGAAUUGACGGGGGCCCGCACAAGCGGUGGAGCAUGUGGUUUAAUUCGAUGCAACGCGAAGAACCUUACCUGGCCUUGACAUAGUAAGAACUUUCCAGAGAUGGAUUGGUGCCUUCGGGAACUUACAUACAGGUGCUGCAUGGCUGUCGUCAGCUCGUGUCGUGGAGAUGUUUGGGUUAAGUCCCGCAACGAGCGCAACCCUUUUUCCUUAUUUGCCAGCGAGUAAUGGCGGGGAACUUAAAGGAUACUGCCAUUGACAAACUUGGAGGAAAGGCGGGGACAACUUCAAGUCAUCAUGGGCCCUUACCGGCCAGGGCUACACACGUUGCUACAAU